AGCGAACGCUGGCGGCAGGCUUAACACAUGCAAGUCGAACGCCCCGCAAGGGGCGUGGCAGACGGGUGAGUAACACGUGGGAACGUACCCUUUGGUUCGGAAUAACUUGGGGAAACCCAAGCUAAUACCGGAUAAGCCCUUACGGGGAAAGGUUUACUGCCGAAGGCACGGCCCCCGUCUGGUUAGCUAGUUGGUGAGGUAAUGGCGCACCAAGCCGACGAUCAGUAGCCGGUCUGGGAGGAUGACCAGCCCCACUGGGACGGAGACACGGCCCAAUGGCCUACGGGGGGCAGCAGUGGGGAAUAUUGGACGAUGGGGGCAACCCUGAUCCAGCCAUGCCGCGGGAGAGAUGAAGGCCUUAGGGUUGUAAAGCUCUUUUUCCCGGGACGAUAAUGACUGUACCGGGAGAAUAAGCCCCGGCUAACUUCGUGCCAGCAGCCGCCGUAA
rnacentral:rRNA from 1 species